GCUGGUAAAUGAUGAUAGAGAUGAAGCCUCUGAGGUGUGGCACCAAGAUGGUGGUUUUCAAGAGGCUGUUCAAAGUUGGUUAGAAGAACCUUCUGAACAGGAAGCUGUUCCUGUUGGAAGGAUGGAUCCUUUUUAUUUACCUGAUGAUGACAAUGUGUACAAUAUGGAACUUAGGGAACUCCUAAGUAGGAGAAGCGUCUCUACUCUUCUUCGUAGUGGUUUCCGUGAGAGUCUUGACCAACUGAUACAAUCAUACGUGGCAAGGCAAAGCCAUGCUCCCCUUGAUUGGGAACUGCAAGGAACAUCUCCCACUCCAGCAUCAGCAGAACAGGAACUGGAGCAGCAUAGUGGGGAUGAGAAUGAGGGUCAGGGAGAUUCUGUUCACAGUCCUCUUGCUCUGCCUGAUUCUGUUCACAGUCCUGUUGCUCUACCUUCCCCAUCAAUUCCCCCUGUUCAGCAGCUCUGGAACCAGGAGUCACAGCAUUUUGCUUGGCCACAGCAUGACAUGCAUCAAUGCUUUGGAAUUGAGUGGGACAUCAUUAAUGAUUUGAGGAUUGACAUGGCUAGGCUACAACAAAGGAUGAAUAACAUGCAGAGGGUGCUGGAAGCCUGCAUGGACAUGCAACUUGAGUUGCAGAGGUCGAUUACACAAGAAGUUUCUGCUGCUCUCAAUCGCUCAGCUGGUUUAACAGGGUUGUGUGAGAAAGUUUUGCCAGAGGAUAGAUCUAAAUGGGAUCAUGUGAGAAAAGGAAUUUGUUGUAUAUGUUGUGAUAGCAAUAUAGAUUCUUUGCUGUACAGAUGUGGGCGCAUGUGCACAUGUUCAAAAUGUGCGAAUGAGUUGGUCCACAAAGGAGAAAAGUGUCCAAUGUGCAGGGCACCUGUAAUUGAGGUCAUCCGUGCUUACUCCAUCUCAUAAUAUAAUUUGAUGUUUGAAAGAAAAAUGGAGGAUCAAAAAGUUGGAAGAAAUUUGGAUUAACAAUAUAGAGGAAUUUGUCAGUUCCUGCUCCUGGAUCCGGCCAGGUAUUUAUUAUUUCCUGGGUUCUUCAAGCCAUGAAUUUUGAAAUAUUGAUUGUAUGAUUGACUAGACGAUUGGUUUUAACAUGAAUAAAGUUUUUGAAUGGAAAGAAUCAUAUUAGUAUUAGCGCCAUGAAAGUUUUUGAAAGCAACUUUGUGUUGAGAUGCUGUAAAAAGGCUUACAUGACUCGUGAUAUUUCCUGAUCCCUGACAGCUCCCACCCACAUCAAAGUGGUAUACACCGUAAUGGCUUUUUUCACCCCUGUGGAGGAUAUUAAUGUCAACAUUCUUAACUUCUUGAUUGUUUUGAGUUUACAUCUUGUAUCCCCUG
rnacentral:misc_RNA from 1 species